rnacentral:rRNA from 1 species
GAUUCUCGACAACAGAUAUUUUGGCUCUCAUAUUGAUGAAGAACAUAGUAAAAUGUGAUAUUUGGUGUGAAUUGUAGAAUCCCACAAAUUACCAAGUCUUUGAACGUAAAUUGCGCCAAAGCCAUUAGGCUAAGGAACGUCAGUCUACGCGUCA